rnacentral:rRNA from 1 species
GUGGGGAAUAGCCCAGGGAAACUUGGAUUAAUACCCCAUGGUAUCGCAAGAUUAAAGGUGGCCGCAAGGCUGUCGCUGAAGGAUUGGUUCGCGCCCUAUCAGCUUGUUGGUGAGGUAACGGCUCACCAAGGCUACGACGGGUACCUGGUCUGAGAGGACGAUCAGGCACACUGGAACUGAGACACGGUCCAGACACCUACGGGUGGCAGCAGUCGAGAAUAAUUCACAAUGGGGGAAACCCUGAUGGUGCAACGCCGCGUGGAGGAUGACGGUCUUCGGAUUGUAAACUCCUGUCAUCUGGGAGAAAGACCUGGGAGUUAAUAGCUCACAGGGUUGAUAGUACCAGAAGAGGAAGGGACGGCUAACUUCGUGCCAGCAGCCGCGGUAAUACGAAGGUCCCAAGCGUUGUUCGGAAUCACUGGGCGUAAAGGGAGCGUAGGCGGCGCGGUAAGUCAGAUGUGAAAUCCCGGGGCUCAACCCCGGAACUGCAUCCGAUACUGCCGUGCUUGAGUAAUGGAAGGGGUAGCUGGAAUUAUCGGUGGUAGCAGUGAAAUGCGUAGAUAUCGAUAGA